GCUCCUGUGACGCAGCGGUUAGCGUGUCGUUCUUAUAUUGUAUGCUUGCAUCCAGUAUGAUGUUAUCUUUCUCAAGAGAUGCGAAAGUCGAGAGUUCGAUCCUCUCCAGGAGCA